CAGUCGCGCGGUAAUACGGAGGGUGCAAGCGUUAAUCGGAAUUACUGGGCGUAAAGCGUGCGUAGGUGGUGGUUUAAGUCCGUUGUGAAAGCCCUGGGCUCAACCUGGGAAUUGCAGUGGAUACUGGGUCACUAGAGUGUGGUAGAGGAUAGUGGAAUUUCCGGUGUAGCAGUGAAAUGCGUAGAGAUCGGAAGGAACAUCUGUGGCGAAGGCGACUAUCUGGGCCAACACUGACACUGAGGCACGAAAGCGUGGGGAGCAAACAGGAUUAGAUACCCGAGUAGUCCCUGUCUCUUAUACA
rnacentral:rRNA from 1 species